rnacentral:rRNA from 1 species
CGUGUAGGCGGUUUGCCAAGUCAGAUGUGAAAGCCCCGGGCUUAACCUGGGAACUGCAUUUGAGACUGGCAGGCUAGAGGUUGGAAGAGGAGAGUGGAAUUCCCAGUGUAGAGGUGAAAUUCGUAGAUAUUGGGAAGAACACCAGUGGCGAAGGCGGCUCUCUGGUCCACACCUGACGCUGAGGCGCGAAAGCGUGGGGAGCAAACA